GCUGGGUCAUGGCUCAGUGGUAGAGCACUUGCCUAGCAUGUGUGAAGAGGCCCUGGGUUCGAUUCUCAGCACUGCA
rnacentral:tRNA from 1 species